rnacentral:rRNA from 1 species
ACGGAGGGGGCCAGCGUUGCUCGGAAUUAUUGGGCGUAAAGGGCGCGUAGGCGGCCGAGUAAGUUUGAUGUGAAAUCCCACGGCUUAACCGUGGAAUCGCAUCUUAUACUGCCCGGCUAGAGUCUGGGAGAGGGAAGUGGAAUUCCCGGUGUAGCGGUGAAAUGCGUAGAGAUGUGGAGGAACACCAGUGGCGAAGGCGGCUUUUUGGUCUGUAACUGACGCUGAGGCGCGAAAGCGUGGGGAGCAAACAGGA